UCGAGAAUUUUUCACAAUGGGCGAAAGCCUGAUGGAGCGACGCCGCGUGGGGGAUGAAUGGCUUCGGCCCGUAAACCCCUGUCAUUCGCGAUCAAACCUCAUUAUUUAAAAGAUGAUGAGCUGAUAGUAGCGGAAGAGGAAGGGACGGCUAACUCUGUGCCAGCAGCCGCGGUAAUACAGAGGUCCCGAGCGUUGUUCGGAUUCACUGGGCGUAAAGGGUGCGUAGGUGGUAGGGUAAGUCGGAUGUGAAAUCUCGGAGCUUAACUCCGAAAUGGCAUUGGAAACUGCCCUGCUUGAGGUUUGGAGGGGGGACUGGAAUGCUUGGUGUAGCAGUGAAAUGCGUAGAUAUCAAGCGGAACACCAGUGGCGAAGGCGAGUCCCUGGACAACACCUGACACUGAGGCACGAAAGCUAGGGGAGCAAACAGG
rnacentral:rRNA from 1 species